GCCCCAAGACAUCAAAGAAAUCCAACUUGCAAUUGAUCCGAUGCCAAGUGUGUCGAUGAAGGAAAGGAAGUGUAUAUACCUCUCAUAUCAGAAGAUCCCUGCAUAAAAUGCAUCUGCCGAAACAAGGUGGUGAUGUGUGAACGGAAGUUCUGUGAAAGUUCGGAAGGAUGUUAUAUGAUUAUAUACGAUAGUCAUCGUCUGCCCAAGCAAUGUUGUGAUCUAUGUAAAGGUAAGAAUCCC